rnacentral:rRNA from 1 species
UAGGGAAUCUUCGGCAAUGGACGGAAGUCUGACCGAGCAACGCCGCGUGAGUGAAGAAGGUUUUCGGAUCGUAAAGCUCUGUUGUUAGAGAAGAACGUUGGUAGGAGUGGAAAAUCUACCAAGUGACGGUAACUAACCAGAAAGGGACGGCUAACUACGUGCCAGCAGCCGCGGUAAUACGUAGGUCCCGAGCGUUGUCCGGAUUUAUUGGGCGUAAAGCGAGCGCAGUCGGUUCUUUAAGUCUGAAGUUAAAGGCAGUGGCUUAACCAUUGUACGCUUUGGAAACUGGAGGACUUGAGUGCAGAAGGGGAGAGUGGAAUUCCAUGUGUAGCGGUGAAAUGCGUAGCUAUAUGGAGGAACACCGGUGGCGAAAGCGGCUCUCUGGUCUGUAACUGACGCUGAGGCUCGAAAGCGUGGGGAGCAAACAGG